UACGUAGGGUGCAAGCGUUAAUCGGAAUUACUGGGCAUAAAGCGUGCGUAGGCGGUUUCUUAAGUCUGCUGUGAAAGCCCCGGGCUCAACCUGGGAAUGGCGGUGGAUACUGAGAAGCUGGAGUACGGUAGAGGAAGGUGGAAUUCCCGGUGUAGCGGUGAAAUGCGUAGAGAUCGGGAGGAACAUCAGUGGCGAAGGCGGCCUUCUGGACCAGUACUGACGCUGAGGCACGAAAGCGUGGGGAGCAAACAGG
rnacentral:rRNA from 1 species